GAUCUAAAGUGGGUAUGGAGUCUGAAAAAACUCAGAAAUUAUGUGUUGUCAUCAGCUUCUUCUCGCCUACUCAAGGAGACUGGAGUUAAAUAACAGCAUCAAAUUC